GAUGAACGCUAGCGAUAGGCUUAACACAUGCAAGUCGAGGGGCAUCACGAAUUAGCAAUAGUUUGGUGGCGACCGGCGCACGGGUGCGUAACACGUAUACAACCUACCUUCAAUUUGGGAAUAACCUGGAGAAAUUCGGACUAAUACCCCAUAGUAAACGGAAGAGGCAUCUUUUUUGUUUUAAAGAUUUAUUGAUUGGAGAUGGGCAUGCGUAGGAUUAGCUAGUUGGUAAGGUAACGGCUUACCAAGGCGACGAUCCUUAGGGGUUCUGAGAGGAAGGUCCCCCACACUGGUACUGAGACACGGACCAGACUCCUACGGGAGGCAGCAGUGAGGAAUAUUGGUCAAUGGUCGAGAGACUGAACCAGCCAAGUCGCGUGAAGGAAGACGGCUCUAUGAGUUGUAAACUUCUUUUGUACAGGAGUAAUGUGAGACACGAGUGUUUUAUUGCAAGUACUGUACGAAUAAGCAUCGGCUAACUCCGUGCCAGCAGCCGCGGUAAUACGGAGGAUGCAAGCGUUAUCCGGAUUUAUUGGGUUUAAAGGGUGCGUAGGCGGUAUUACAAGUCAGGGGUGAAAUCUUGGUGCUUAACAUUAAAAUUGCCUUUGAAACUGUGGUACUUGAGUGUAAAAGAGGUAGGCGGAAUGUGUUGUGUAGCGGUGAAAUGCAUAGAUAUAACACAGAACCCCGAUUGCGAAGGCAGCUUACUAUCAUACAACUGACGCUGAUGCACGAAAGCGUGGGGAUCAAACAGG
rnacentral:rRNA from 1 species